rnacentral:rRNA from 1 species
GUCGAACGAUGAAGCCCUUCGGGGUGGAUUAGUGGCGAACGGGUGAGUAACACGUGGGCAAUCUGCCCUUCACUCUGGGACAAGCCCUGGAAACGGGGUCUAAUACCGGAUAACACUCUGUCCCUCAUGGGGCGGGGUUAAAAGCUCCGGCGGUGAAGGAUGAGCCCGCGGCCUAUCAGCUUGUUGGUGGGGUAAUGGCCUACCAAGGCGACGACGGGUAGCCGGCCUGAGAGGGCGACCGGCCACACUGGGACUGAGACACGGCCCAGACUCCUACGGGAGGCAGCAGUGGGGAAUAUUGCACAAUGGGCGAAAGCCUGAUGCAGCGACGCCGCGUGAGGGAUGACGGCCUUCGGGUUGUAAACCUCUUUCAGCAGGGAAGAAGCGAAAGUGACGGUACCUGCAGAAGAAGCACCGGCUAACUACGUGCCAGCAGCCGCGGUAAUACGUAGGGUGCGAGCGUUGUCCGGAAUUAUUGGGCGUAAAGAGCUCGUAGGCGGCUUGUCACGUCGGAUGUGAAAGCUCGGGGCUUAACCCCGAGUCUGCAUUCGAUACGGGCUAGCUAGAGUGUGGUAGGGGAGAUCGGAAUUCCUGGUGUAGCGGUGAAAUGCGCAGAUAUCAGGAGGAACACCGGUGGCGAAGGCGGAUCUCUGGGCCAUUACUGACGCUGAGGAGCGAAAGCGUGGGGAGCGAACAGGAUUAGAUACCCUGGUAGUCCACGCCGUAAACGUUGGGAACUAGGUGUUGGCGACAUUCCACGUCGUCGGUGCCGCAGCUAACGCAUUAAGUUCCCCGCCU